UACAGAGGUCUCAAGCGUUGUUCGGAUUCAUUGGGCGUAAAGGGUGCGUAGGUGGCGCGCUAAGUCAGGUGUGAAAUUUCGGAGCUUAACUCCGAAACUGCAUUUGAUACUGGCGUGCUCGAGGACUGGAGAGGAGACUGGAAUUCACGGUGUAGCAGUGAAAUGCGUAGAUAUCGUGAGGAAGACCAGUGGCGAAGGCGGGUCUCUGGACAGUUCCUGACACUGAGGCACGAAGGCCAGGGGAGCAAACGGGAUUAGAAC
rnacentral:rRNA from 1 species